rnacentral:rRNA from 1 species
UACGUAGGGUGCAAGCGUUAAUCGGAAUUACUGGGCGUAAAGCGUGCGCAGGCGGUGAUGCAAGACAGAUGUGAAAUCCCCGGGCUUAACCUGGGAACUGCAUUUGUGACUGCAUUGCUGGAGUGCGGCAGAGGGGGAUGGAAUUCCGCGUGUAGCAGUGAAAUGCGUAGAUAUGCGGAGGAACACCGAUGGCGAAGGCAAUCCCCUGGGCCUGCACUGACGCUGAGGUGCGAAAGCGUGGGGAGCAAACAGG